rnacentral:lncRNA from 1 species
GACAUAACGGCCAUACCAUUCGCAGAGGACUUUUCCUCGCCUGGAGCUUCCGCCGGCGAAGUGAUUUCACCGGAGGCAGACGGACCCACCGUCGAACCUGACGGAGCACCUCCGGAGGGACCCAUCGCCGAGGCUGAGGGAGCAUCCCCGGAAGGACCCAUCGCCGAGGCUGAGGGAGCAUCUCCGGAAGGACCCAUCGCCGAACCUGACGGGGCAUCUCCCGAGGGACCCAUCUCCGACGGCGAGUAUGCUGACGGAGAAUCUGACGGCGAAUAAGAAACAGAGGAAGGAGAUCCUGCGGGAGACGAAGAUGGGGAUCCGGCGGAAGAAGAUUUUGGUGCCAUUGAUCCUGACGGUGAAUAACCCGGUGCAUACGACGGAGGAGCUGGCGGAGAAGUCACCGGAGAAGUUGCCGGAGAAACAGGGGAAGAUGAUUUAGGUGACAUUGAUCCCGGCGGUGAAGAACCCGGUGCAUACGACGGAGGAGCUGGCGGAGAAGUUGCCGGAGAACCAGCGGAGGAAGAUUUAGGUGGCAUUGAACCCGGCGGAGAAGUCACCGGAGAAGACGACGGAGAACCAGGGGAAGAUGAUUUAGGUGACAUUGAUCCCGGCGGAGAAGAUGACGGAGAACCAGGGAAUGAGGAUUUAGGUGGCAUUGAUCCCGGCGGAGAAGUCAUCGGAGCAGAGGACGGAGAACCAGGGGAAGAGGAUUUAGGUGGCAUAGGUGCGGGUGGAGAAGUCGACGGAGACAUAUGAGAGGAAGAUUUAGGUGCCAUUGAACCUGGUGGAGAAGUUGCCGGAGACUUAGCGGAGGAUGAUUUAGGUGGCAUUGAUCCCGGCGGAGAAGUCACUGGAGAAGAAGACGGAGAAACAGGGGAAGAUGAUUUAGGUGGUGUAUGUGCCGGUGGAGACGUCGCCGGAGAAACAGGGGAUGAAGAUGAUUUAGGUGGCAUUGUUCCCGGUGGAGAAGUCACCGGAGAAACAGGGGAAGUAGAUUUAGGUGGCAUAGGUGCCGGUGGAGAAGUCGCCGGAGAAACAUGGGAAGAAGACUUAGGUGGCAUUGAUCCCGGCGGAGAAGUCACCGGAGCAGAAGACGGAGAAACAGGGGAAGAAGAUUUAG